rnacentral:lncRNA from 1 species
UUAAUUCCGACAAUUCAAAUGUAGCAUAAAUCUCUUUCAACUCGCGUAUAAUGCUAUUCAACUUCAGAAUAAUGAAAAGCAAAGAAACAUUUGUCACUGUAGGAAAAUGAUAUCUAAAAGCACAAAAGGGAAAAGAAAAACAACCAAGUUAACUUAUUACACUGUUUGAGGAUGAAUACAUUCUAGGUAUUAUCAAAUAUCAAGUUAUAUUUCUUUUUUGGCAUUUCAUCAAACAUGUAAUGUGCACUUUUCCAAAUAUAUGAAAGAAUAUAAUCAACUUGUUGCUCAAUUGCCCAGAAAGCCUAUUAUCGCUAAGAGUCAAUGUAGUCAAAUUUGUUGCCGAAACAGAUCAUCCCGUAUAGUACCUGAGAGAAAGUUUGAACCAAGGUCCAGGUGUUCCAGUGAGCUGCAUUUCUCAAGCUCAAAAUGAAAUAUUUCCAUUGAAAUAGUUCACUACUAAAUUAAUAACUUGAAUACGGGGUGAGUUGUUACAUAUACCAUCAGGAACCAAACACUAAAAAUAUUCUUAGAAAUGUUGAAAACUCGAAUUGAUGGCAGAUCGAUGCUAACUAGAAACAACCCAGAAAAGACAUUAUUGUUGUUCGAGUCCAAAACCUCUAAAUUGGGCAAAUGCAACAGUGAUGUUGGAAAUGAGCUUUUGAGCACGUUGUGGGAUAAAUUAAGGGCAAUUGAUUCUGAAAGCUUGCCCAUUAAUCUUUCACUUCCAAGUUCUAACAUAACUGCAAGUGAAGCCUACCCAAUCACAGCAAUUGGGGGAAAAAAGAUGAAUUUGCAUUCAGUUUCCACACCACUAAUUGAGUUUAAACCAUUUAUCAAACCCUCCAAUGCCUUCAAAUCAUUUGAAUUGCAUGUCAAGUUCUGAGCAUUCAAAACCUAAACUUGUAAAGAACCCCCAAAAAGAAUCAAAAUUAUCCAUAAUUCCAGAAUACCCAACUCAGAAAAACAAUCCCAAAUACAUGAAGAAAGAAAUGGGCCUAGUGAAAUCAGCCAUAAAUCAAGAUUGAACCUUUAACCAUCUUCCAGAGCAAAAGAAAAAUAAAUAAAGACACCUAAAAAAUAUUUAAAAAAUUGGGGGCUUGUUGGAACAAAAAAUGAAUAUACAGAAAGACAAAGUAUUGAUCACCUGAAAACUGCACGCUUUGUUGGCUCAAAAGAUAAGAUUUUGUUUCUGCUUCAACUUCCCGUUCUUGCAAUUAAGCAAAAGAAAACAGAGAAGAAAAAAAGGAGAGACAUAAAAGUAGAUGGGAAACCCCAAAUCACAUAGCAAAAUCAAGUAUUUACCUCGUCCUAAUUGUCACCGAUGACUUCAAUCUCAUCCUAAUCCUCAUUCAUCGUUCAGAGGAAUUCAAGCCAACUUGCAACUCUUUUUUCAUGAAUGUGGUUUGCAUCUUUUUUGGGUGAAUUGUCUUGAUCAACAACUUUACUGUUCCGAUCCUGUAAUAGAUGAAAUAAAUUAAAAAAAUGAAAGAAAGCACAGGCGAGUGAAAGUGAUUCUAUAAGUCGGCCUCACCUCAUUCUAUUCCAAUCAAAAAGAAGCUAUCUCACCAAAAAAAAAU